rnacentral:rRNA from 1 species
GACGAACGCUGGCAGCGUGCUUAACACAUGCAAGUCGAACGGAAAGGCCCCUUUGGGGGUACUCGAGUGGCGAACGGGUGAGUAACACGUGAGUAACCUGCCCUUGACUUCGGGAUAACUUCAGGAAACUGGGGCUAAUACCGGAUAGGAAUCCUUGCUGCAUGGUGGGGGUUGGAAAGCUUCGGCGGUUUUGGAUGGACUCGCGGCUUAUCAGCUUGUUGGUGGGGUAGUGGCUUACCAAGGCUUUGACGGGUAGCCGGCCUGAGAGGGCGACCGGCCACAUUGGGACUGAGAUACGGCCCAGACUCCUACGGGAGGCAGCAGUGGGGAAUAUUGCACAAUGGGCGGAAGCCUGAUGCAGCAACGCCGCGUGCGGGAUGACGGCCUUCGGGUUGUAAACCGCUUUCAGCAGGGGCGAAGCUUGUGGUGACGGUACCUGCAGAAGAAGCACCGGCUAACUACGUG